CCUGGCUCAGGACGAACGCUGGCGGCGUGCCUAAUACAUGCAAGUCGAGCGGACAGAUGGGAGCUUGCUCCCUGAUGUYAGCGGCGGACGGGUGAGUAACACGUGGGUAACCUGCCUGUAAGACUGGGAUAACUCCGGGAAACCGGGGCUAAUACCGGAUGCUUGAUUGAACCGCAUGGYUCAAUUAUAAAAGGUGGCUUUUAGCUACCACUUACAGAUGGACCCGCGGCGCAUUAGCUAGUUGGUGAGGUAACGGCUCACCAAGGCRACGAUGCGUAGCCGACCUGAGAGGGUGAUCGGCCACACUGGGACUGAGACACGGCCCAGACUCCUACGGGAGGCAGCAGUAGGGAAUCUUCCGCAAUGGACGAAAGUCUGACGGAGCAACGCCGCGUGAGUGAUGAAGGUUUUCGGAUCGUAAAACUCUGUUGUUAGGGAAGAACAAGUACCGUUCGAAUAGGGCGGUACCUKACGGUACCWACCAGA
rnacentral:rRNA from 1 species